UCAUCAUCAAAGUUUAUAUGAACAUAUGAUUGAGAUGUUCGAUAAUCAAAUGCUUCUCUUCAAGCUUUGGAUACUAUUUUUGCCUCCUUUUCUUUCUGUAGAUGAUCCCUUAUCAUCGUUCGAAUCUCUACGGAUACCUUUGGACACUUUUUGACAUCACUGAAGUUACCCACCAAAUGUUGCUUCAAUCGGAUGACUUCACCUUCUCUAUUUUUUAGGCCAC
rnacentral:lncRNA from 1 species